rnacentral:rRNA from 1 species
CGGCGACGCCGAGCGGACCCGAAAGCCGUUCUCAGUUCGGAUCGGAGUCUGCAACCCGACUCCGUGAAGCUGGAUUCGCUAGUAAUCGCGCAUCAGCCAUGGCGCGGUGAAUACGUUCCCGGGCCUUGUACACACCGCCCGUCAAGCCAUGGGAGCCGGGGGUGCUUGAAGUGCGUCGCCGCGAGGCGCGCCCUAGAGCAAAACCGGUGACUGGGGCUAAGUCGUAACAAGGUACC